ensembl:rRNA 5S_rRNA 5S ribosomal RNA
GACUACAGCCGUGCCACCCUGAACGUGCCUGAUCCCAUCUGGUCUCGGAAGCUAAUCAGGGUUGGGCCUGGUUAGUACUUGAAAGGGGGACUACCUAGGAAUACCAGGUGCUGUAGGCA